rnacentral:rRNA from 1 species
AUUGAACGCUGGCGGCAGGCCUAACACAUGCAAGUCGAACGCGUGGCGGACGGGUGCGUAAUGUCUGGGAAACUGCCUGAUGGAGGGGGAUAACUACUGGAAACGGUAGCUAAUACCGCAUACCAUCAGAUGUGCCCAGAGGGUAUUAGCUAGUUGGGGGGGUAACGGCUCAACAAGGCGACGAUCCCUAGCUGGUCUGAGAGGAUGACCAGCCACACUGGAACUGAGACACUGUACAGACUCCGACGGUAGUCAGCAGUGGGGAAUAUUUCACAAUGGGCGCAAGCCUGAUGCAGCCAUGCCGCGUGUAUGAAGAAGGCCUUCGGGUUGUAAAGUACUUUCAGCGGGGAGGCGUUACCCGCAGAAGAAGCACCGGCUAACUCCGUGCCAGCAGCCGCGGUAAUAC